rnacentral:tRNA from 1 species
GGGGUUGUGGCUCAGUGGCAGAGUGCUUUCCUAGCAUGUAUGAGGCACUGGGUUUGACCCUCAGCACCACA